GGUUUAAUGGUGUAGUUGGUUAUCACGUCCGUCUCACACAGUCUGCAGCAUUGCAGUAACUCAGGGUCACGGGAGGUCUCCAGUUCGAACCUGGGUUGAACCA